AGCUGGCAGACAACAAGAAAGUAGGGUUCACAACCCCAUUAGUGUAGGGUAGUCGAAUGCGGAGUUAGAAUUUUAAUUGGAAAAAUUAUUGAAAUAUACGUCUUAUAUUUUUCUUAUUUUUAAUAUUCUUUUUUAUUUCUAAAAAUUUCUAAAAUCCCUUAUUUCUUUAAUGUAUCCGAGUCAAUAUUUAAUGUAUCCGAG
rnacentral:lncRNA from 1 species